rnacentral:rRNA from 1 species
CCUACGGGCGGCAGCAGUGGGGAAUAUUGGACAAUGGGCGAAAGCCUGAUCCAGCCAUGCCGCGUGUGUGAAGAAGGCCUUCGGGUUGUAAAGCACUUUCAGUGGGGAAGAAAGCCUUGGGGCUAAUACCCUCGAGGAAGGACAUCACCCACAGAAGAAGCACCGGCUAACUCCGUGCCAGCAGCCGCGGUAAUACGGAGGGUGCGAGCGUUAAUCGGAAUUACUGGGCGUAAAGCGCGCGUAGGCGGUCUGAUAAGCCGGUUGUGAAAGCCCCGGGCUCAACCUGGGAACGGCAUCCGGAACUGUCAGGCUAGAGUGCAGGAGAGGAAGGUAGAAUUCCCGGUGUAGCGGUGAAAUGCGUAGAGAUCGGGAGGAAUACCAGUGGCGAAGGCGGCCUUCUGGACUGACACUGACGCUGAUGUGCGAAAGCGUGGGUAGCAAACAGGAUUAGAUACCCUGGUAGUC